UUGAACGCUGGCGGCAUGCCUUACACAUGCAAGUCGAACGGUAGAGGGGCAACCCUUGAGAGUGGCGAACGGGUGAGUAAUGCAUCGGAACGUGCCCAGUCGUGGGGGAUAACGCAGCGAAAGCUGUGCUAAUACCGCAUGUGAUCUGUGGAUGAAAGCAGGGGACCGCAAGGCCUUGUGCGAUUGGAGCGGCCGAUGUCAGAUUAGCUGGUUGGUAGGGUAAAAGCCUACCAAGGCGACGAUCUGUAGCUG
rnacentral:rRNA from 1 species